GAUUAAGUUAUUAAGGGCGCACGGUGGAUGCCUUGGCACUAGAAGCCGAUGAAGGACGUUACUAACGACGAUAUGCUUUGGGGAGCUGUAAGUAAGCUUUGAUCCAGAGAUUUCCGAAUGGGGAAACCCAGCAUGAGUUAUGUCAUGUUAUCGAUAUGUGAAUACAUAGCAUAUCAGAAGGCACACCCGGAGAACUGAAACAUCUUAGUACCCGGAGGAAGAGAAAGAAAAUUCGAUUCCCUUAGUAGCGGCGAGCGAAACGGGAAGAGCCCAAACCAACAAGCUUGCUUGUUGGGGUUGUAGGACACUCUAUACGGAGUUACAAAGGACGACAUUAGACGAAUCAUCUGGAAAGAUGAAUCAAAGAAGGUAAUAAUCCUGUAGUCGAAAAUGUUGUCUCUCUUGAGUGGAUCCUGAGUACGACGGAGCACGUGAAAUUCCGUCGGAAUCUGGGAGGACCAUCUCCUAAGGCUAAAUACUCUCUAGUGACCGAUAGUGAACCAGUACCGUGAGGGAAAGGUGAAAAGCACCCCGG
rnacentral:rRNA from 1 species